AAAGGGCAAUCCCCCGAGCCGGUUCCCAGGCCGGGUGGAGACCAACUCUGGGGUCUGUUGGUGGGAGAGUGGGGAGCCCGUCUUCUGCUGAGUGCUGCCGCCCCUUCCCAGGACAGCGGAGGUGGAACUUCGUCGCGCUGCAACCCCCGGCUCGGGAUCCUGGGGCGUCCUUUGGCAGUCGAUUGCACCCUGCACUAGAGAGAAGUCCAGGAAUGAUAUAUUCUUGGGCUGUAUUUCUCUACCCUGGAGUUCAUCCAGUUCAUCCCAGAAACACUGACCUGAUUACUGUGACAAAGUCUGAUGGAUAGACCCUUUCUGUUGACCUUGUGGCGUUUUUCUUUCAUGUGGAAGUUGGAAGACAAGGUGAAAGGGGCCAAAAGUUACCUGCUUUGGUGAAUAGGAGUGCUCUACUUGGUUCUCAGAACAUGGGCCCUCGUUUAAAGAGACAGGGUUUUGCCAUGUUGCUCAGGCUGGUCCCAAGCUCUUGAGCUCAAGUGAUCCUCCUGCCUUGGCUUCCAAAGUGCUGGGAUUACAG
rnacentral:lncRNA from 10 species